UACGAAGGUCCCAAGCGUUGUUCGGAAUCACUGGGCGUAAAGGGUGCGUAGGCGGCGUGGUAAGCCAGAUGUGAAAUCCCGGGGCUCAACCCCGGAACUGCAUCCGAUACUGCCAUGCUUGAGGACUGGAGAGGUGACUGGAAUUCUCGGUGUAGCAGUGAAAUGCGUAGAGAUCGAGAGGAACACUCGUGGCGAAAGCGAGUCACUGGACAGUAUCUGACGCUGAUGCACGAAGGCUAGGGGAGCGAAAGGG
rnacentral:rRNA from 1 species